UGUGGUCCCCUUGGUCUACAAGGCUCUGAAGUGUCACACUGGCCCUUUGGUUCCAUGAAGUUUGGUGCUGUCACAACUCACUCCUUGGGUCCAUAAGUCCCUGCUGUGUCACAGUGCCCAUGGUUUCAUCAGCUUCCAUUGGGUCACCAUGGUGUCCUUGCAUCUGCAGUAUCUCAAGGGUCUCCUUGGCACCAUCCUGCCCAAAUGUCUCAAUGGCUUUUUGGUUCCAUGAGUUUCCACAGUGCCACAAGGGUCUCCUUUUUGCCAUGAGGAUACAAAACUUCCACAUAAACAUUGAGCAACACUUGCUUAACACACCUGGGAACAUCUGUCUGCAUUCAAAAGAGGGGAUAAAGGUGAGAAUGGCACCAGCAGCUUACACCUGCAACAGAGAUCCAGGGAAAGAACAGGGACCGAGAAUUCAGGUGGAAGAAGACUCGGAGAAUUCACAGAACCACAGAAUCACAGCUUAAGACUGUGUCCUCUCAUUCUGUCAGUUGCUGCCUGGUGAAAGAGACCAACCCCCACCUGACUACAGCCACCUGUGGGAGUCCAGAGUAUUUCUCUGGCUUCCAUGAAAGGUUUAAGACCCCCCUGGCAAAGGUCUCAAAGACCCUCGAAUGAGACCCAGGUAUCUCAGGGGCUGGAUUUAGCUCCUUGGAACAAUUUGCCAACAUUGAGAGAGGAAAUGCAGGCUGCAGAAAUGAAUAGAGUGUAAAUUAGACUGUUAGAAUGUAGAAUUAGCAGAUUUCUAGAAUGUUUGUGGUAAGGGACACGUGGCCAAGAUGGAGAAUUUGGGGUGUGGAUACCUCUUCCUCCUUCUUCUCCUUGUCAUCCAUGCUGGGUGACAUGCUGGCACUUUUAGAUUGGAUGAGGACAGAGCUGAACCAUGUAACAAGAUUGUAUUGUAUUGGGGGUCAUUUGUAAAUACCUAGUACGUAAUUUAGACUAUAAAAGAUAAGUCCUGCCUCUACCAGGCAGAUUCUGCCUUGGACGUCUGGCAAGCAGACCGCUGUUCUCUGGACAAAGCAUUCCAGAGAUAAGAAACAAUAAACAACCAUGAAAACCUCUAAGAACAGUCUCCUGCAGUCUCUCAUUGGUGGGCAUCGGAAAGAGCUGGGUUCCAAAUCAC
rnacentral:lncRNA from 12 species